GUGUGAGUGCAGUGUAAGUAAGUGCAGUGAGUGUGUGAGUACAGUGUGUGUGUGAGUGCAGUGUGAGUAUGUGAGUGCAGUGUAAGUGAGCGCAGUGUGUGUGUGAGUGCAGUGUGUAUAAGUGCAGUGUUUGUUAGUGCAUGUGUAUAAGUGCAGUGCAGUGAGUGUGUGUGUGUGCGAGUCCUCACCCUGGAAGCCGGCACCGGGGUUCUGCUGGCAGAUCACCUGGUUCUGGAUGAAUCUGUGUGUCGGCGUGGCGGUCGGCGCGAUCAUCACCGUCUGCGGAUGCGCCAGCGUCUGCAUGGGGAACGCCUGCGUCUGCACCUGAGGACAGCCAAUCAGAGCAUGGCGUGAGGAGUGACCGAGUCAA
rnacentral:lncRNA from 1 species